rnacentral:rRNA from 1 species
GUAGGUGGCAAGCGUUGUCCGGAAUUAUUGGGCGUAAAGCGCGCGCAGGCGGUUCUUUAAGUCUGAUGUGAAAGCCCACGGGCUCAACCGUGGAGGGUCAUUGGAAACUGGAGAACUUGAGUACAGAAGAGGAAAGCGGAAUUCCACGUGUAGCGGUGAAAUGCGUAGAGAUGUGGAGGAACACCAGUGGCGAAGGCGGUUUUCUGGUCUGUAACUGACGCUGAGGCGCGAAAGCGUGGGGAGCAAACAGGAUUAGAUACCCUGGUAGUCCACGCCGUAAACGAUGAGUGCUAAGUGUUAGGGGGUUUCCGCCCCUUAGUGCUGCAGCUAACGCAUUAAGCACUCCGCCUGGGGAGUACGGCCGCAAAGGCUG